rnacentral:rRNA from 1 species
AAAUUGAAGAGUUUGAUCAUGGCUCAGAUUGAACGCUGGCGGCAGGCCUAACACAUGCAAGUCGAGCGGUAGCACAGAGAGCUUGCUCUCGGGUGACGAGCGGCGGACGGGUGAGUAAUGUCUGGGAAACUGCCUGAUGGAGGGGGAUAACUACUGGAAACGGUAGCUAAUACCGCAUAAUGUCGCAAGACCAAAGUGGGGGACCUUCGGGCCUCAUGCCAUCAGAUGUGCCCAGAUGGGAUUAGCUAGUAGGUGGGGUAACGGCUCACCUAGGCGACGAUCCCUAGCUGGUCUGAGAGGAUGACCAGCCACACUGGAACUGAGACACGGUCCAGACUCCUACGGGAGGCAGCAGUGGGGAAUAUUGCACAAUGGGCGCAAGCCUGAUGCAGCCAUGCCGCGUGUGUGAAGAAGGCCUUCGGGUUGUAAAGCACUUUCAGCGGGGAGGAAGGCGAUAAGGUUAAUAACCUUGUCGAUUGACGUUACCCGCAGAAGAAGCACCGGCUAACUCCGUGCCAGCAGCCGCGGUAAUACGGAGGGUGCAAGCGUUAAUCGGAAUUACUGGGCGUAAAGCGCACGCAGGCGGUCUGUCAAGUCGGAUGUGAAAUCCCCGGGCUCAACCUGGGAACUGCAUUCGAAACUGGCAGGCUAGAGUCUUGUAGAGGGGGGUAGAAUUCCAGGUGUAGCGGUGAAAUGCGUAGAGAUCUGGAGGAAUACCGGUGGCGAAGGCGGCCCCCUGGACAAAGACUGACGCUCAGGUGCGAAAGCGUGGGGAGCAAACAGGAUUAGAUACCCUGGUAGUCCACGCCGUAAACGAUGUCGAUUUGGAGGUUGUGCCCUUGAGGCGUGGCUUCCGGAGCUAACGCGUUAAAUCGACCGCCUGGGGAGUACGGCCGCAAGGUUAAAACUCAAAUGAAUUGACGGGGGCCCGCACAAGCGGUGGAGCAUGUGGUUUAAUUCGAUGCAACGCGAAGAACCUUACCUGGUCUUGACAUCCACAGAACUUUCCAGAGAUGGAUUGGUGCCUUCGGGAACUGUGAGACAGGUGCUGCAUGGCUGUCGUCAGCUCGUGUUGUGAAAUGUUGGGUUAAGUCCCGCAACGAGCGCAACCCUUAUCCUUUGUUGCCAGCGG